CACAAUCGUUUAUCAAUAAAAUUAUUAUUUCUUCAUAUUUUUAUUUGUGGUUGAAAUUUAUUUGCCAUAAAUUUAAAUUAUGUUGGAAACAAUAAAACCCUUCUUCAUGAUAGAAUAGAUCUGGAAAUUAAACACUAUUCCAGGUACAUGUCAAGUAACUCUUCAGAAAAGAAAACUAAGAGCUUUCUCCAUUGUAUAUAGUAUCAAAGCAUUAUUCUACUCCCGAGUAUAUUCCAUAAUAUCCUCCUUAUCUAAAGUCACCUGAGUUUUCCCUUCAAUUAUCACUAGAGCCACAUAUGUAAGAGUCAUACCAUUAGCAGUAAUCCAAUUCGGCAAAAAUAACCCAGCCCAAUUUACAUCAUCUCUUUUUUGUUCCCCUGCUUCUGGUUUAAUUGGGGAUUUUUCCUUGUUUGAACUGGGAUUCAGCUUUUGUUGUAGUCCAAUUGAGAUCGAACAUCCUUCCUUUUGAACUACAGGUGUUAUACUUCCUUCCCCUUCAAUUAUUGUCUUGCUAAAUCUGUGGGUAAACUUGUAUUGUCUUGUUGCAUAACCUCUAUUUCAGUACUUUCUACCAGAGAUUCUUGUGUCAUUUUCCAUUCCAAAGAGUGCGCUUCUUCACAAGUCUGUUCUAUAAUCUUCUGAGCUUCUCCCUCAUCCUUGUAUGGUCGAACCCGGCUUCGUUUUACCAUGGAUGUGCAUGUUAUCAAAGCGAGCUAGACAUGCACAAGAGAGAGAAUACAAGAGGGUUGUCAGAUUGUGUGAUAAACUUUUAACCAAUGGGGAUACUUCAUGCCGUUGGAUCAAUGUGUCAUGGGUCAUUUUAUUUUGCUAACUAAGACUUAUUGAGAAAAAAUUACAGUAUAUGAGUUAAGGAUGUUGCUAACUAAGACUUAUUGAGAAAAAAUUACAGUAUAUGAGUUAAGGAUGUUGCUAACUAAGACUUAUUGAGAAAAAAUUACAGUAUAUGAGUUAAGGAUGUUGAAGGGACUGUGUAUU
rnacentral:lncRNA from 1 species